GGAAAUUUGCUCUGGGGAUAAAUGGCUUUCCUUCAUCAGAGGUAUUCCAAAGACACCAUGCAGACAAAUACACUUACACCACAGAUGACACAAAAAUAAACUCAUGGAAGGAUGUCAUAUCCAGGAACCCUACUAUUUUAUGAGAGUGGAAACCUGGACUUUGUUGGGUUACCUUCACAGCAUUGAAUAGAGAUUAAAACCCAUUCUGAAUUUCCUCUCAUUCUUUCCCAGGCAAAGAAUCACACAGAGAACUUCUUCAAUGUAGCAGGUACUACAAGAUAUACUUCUAUAGAAGCUUGCAUUCCUGAGCUGGACAUCAGAUGAGCAUCUUCAUCCUGUGUCUCAGAAGGCAAAGAGUCACACAGAACUUCUUUGCUGUAAAAAGCGCUACAAUAUAUGAUUCUAUAGGAGCUGUGUUCCUGAUGUGGCCAUCAGAUGAUCAUCUUCAUCCUGUGUCUCAGAAGGUGGGAUUCUUGCAACCAUGGACUUCUUAAAAUUCUCUUUUCCCUUCUUCUGUGUACAUUGUCUCCUAAAGCCAACAUGACUGAUUAAUUUUUUGAAGACUGAAAUUUUACUCAAAUUGCUUAAUAUUUUCUUUUAUCUCAAAGAAAUGUCUGUUUUCUAGAUUUACUCUUAGCAGAAAACUGCAUUCAAUGUCACUUAUGUACAUGAGAUGUUAAAUUUUAUCUGGUGGAUGGAGGCCCUCAUGUUCCUAUAGUAAACAUAUAAAUGAGCAAAGUGGAGACUGAGCAUCAGCUUGCAAAGGGUAUAAUAGUGAUUGUGUUAAUAAUUAAGGCAGGAAUCUGGAGAUAAUGCAGGUAAAACUCUGGAAUCUGGCUUUAUAGAACAAAAAUUAAGAUUGGGAAAAUAUGAAUGAAUGAAACUUGUUAGCAAGUGGAUUUUUUGACAUGGCAGAUAAAUAGGUAAACAUAUGUUCAUCUGUGUGAUGAGAACACAGGUGGCUUUAUCAGAAAUAUUUCAUAUUUUGUUGUGUGGCUGAGUAGUACAAAAGAUCCUCAAAAGCCAACAACUUAACAUUCUACAUCUUAAUUCAGUUACAAAACCUUAUGGAUUAUUAUAUGUAAUCAUACAUCCUAUUAAUAUACACAUUGUUUUUAACAUGUUGCUAUGAGG
rnacentral:lncRNA from 1 species